UACGAAGGGUGCAAGCGUUACUCGGAAUUACUGGGCGUAAAGCGUGCGUAGGUGGUUUGUUAAGUCUGUUGUGAAAGCCCCGGGCUCAACCUGGGAAUGGCAAUGGAUACUGGCAGGCUAGAGUGCGGUAGAGGGUAGUGGAAUUCCCGGUGUAGCGGUGAAAUGCGUAGAGAUCGGGAGGAACACCAGUGGCGAAGGCGGCUACCUGGACCAGCACUGACGCUGAGGCACGAAGGCCAGGGGAGCAAACGGG
rnacentral:rRNA from 1 species